rnacentral:rRNA from 1 species
AUUGAACGCUGGCGGCAGGCCUAACACAUGCGAGUCGAGCGGAUGAGUGGAGCUUGCUCCACGAUUCAGCGGCGGACGGGUGAGUAAUGCCUAGGAAUCUGCCUGGUAGUGGGGGACAACGUUUCGAAAGGAACGCUAAUACCGCAUACGUCCUACGGGAGAAAGCAGGGGACCUUCGGGCCUUGCGCUAUCAGAUGAGCCUAGGUCGGAUUAGCUUGUUGGUGAGGUAAUGGCUCACCAAGGCGACGAUCCGUAACUGGUCUGAGAGGAUGAUCAGUCACACUGGAACUGAGACACGGUCCAGACUCCUACGGGAGGCAGCAGUGGGGAAUAUUGGACAAUGGGCGAAAGCCUGAUCCAGCCAUGCCGCGUGUGUGAAGAAGGUCUUCGGAUUGUAAAGCACUUUAAGUUGGGAGGAAGGGCAGUCAGCGAAUACCUGAUUGUUUUGACGUUACCGACAGAAUAAGCACCGGCUAACUCUGUGCCAGCCGCCGCGGUAAGAC